rnacentral:rRNA from 1 species
CACGUAGGGCGCGAGCGUUGUCCGGAAUUAUUGGGCGUAAAGAGCUCGUAGGCGGCCUGUUGCGUCCGCUGUGAAAGCCCGGGGCUUAACCCCGGGUCGGCAGUGGAUACGGGCAGGCUAGAGGUAGGUAGGGGAGAAUGGAAUUCCCGGUGUAGCGGUGAAAUGCGCAGAUAUCGGGAGGAACACCGGUGGCGAAGGCGGUUCUCUGGGCCUUACCUGACGCUGGGGUGCGAAAGCAUGGGGAGCGAACAGG